GGCGAGGAAAUUUAAUAACAAAGUCCCCGCGGCAUUUUUGAAGGUGUAUAGGUCGCGGCCCGAGAUCUCGCCGGCGAGACAUUUCCACGAGAAUUUGAAACUGAAGGAUGAAGAAGGCCGGCGUCAUCGCUGUCUCCGUUGCUGCCGCCUCUUCGGCGGCGCUUCAUUCCAAGCUCCCGUCUGAUUCUCACGAGGGUUCAAAGAGGAAAGAAAUGGGAUCUGGAUCGAGGGAGGGAGGCGAGGUCGAGAAAUUCGCACCGAGAUUCGACGGGUUGAGAUUCAUCGAGACGCUUGUGACGGCGCACAGAUGAGACGACGGCAGUUGGUUCUUGGCGUUAAGUUGGAGUUUGAUUUUUGACAUUCAGACAUAAUUUGAUGUGGGGAUUAAAAACUUCAGCUUUUUUCUUUUUUUGUGAUUGCGAAUUGGUUUUUCUGGAAAUUGUGAAAUACGAGAGGUUUGGUAAUUGAAUAUUUUGGAUGUUUUCUCUA